GACGAACGCUGGCGGCGUGCCUAAUACAUGCAAGUAGAACGCACAGUUUAUACCGUAGCUUGCUACACCAUAGACUGUGAGUUGCGAACGGGUGAGUAACGCGUAGGUAACCUGCCUGGUAGCGGGGGAUAACUAUUGGAAACGAUAGCUAAUACCGCAUAAUAUUAAUUAUUGCAUGAUAAUUAAUUGAAAGGUGCAAUUGCACCACUACCAGAUGGACCUGCGUUGUAUUAGCUAGUAGGUGAGGUAACGGCUCACCUAGGCGACGAUACAUAGCCGACCUGAGAGGGUGAUCGGCCACACUGGGACUGAGACACGGCCCAGACUCCUACGGGAGGCAGCAGUAGGGAAUCUUCGGCAAUGGACGAAAGUCUGACCGAGCAACGCCGCGUGAGGGGAGAAGGGUUUCGGAUCGUAAAGCUCUGUUGUAAGAGAAGAACGGGUGUGAGAGUGGAAAGUUCACACUGUGACGGUAUCUUACCAGAAAGGGACGGCUAACUACGUG
rnacentral:rRNA from 1 species